CGUUCCCAUUCCGAACACGGAAGUUAAGCUCUUCAGCGCCGAUGGUACUGCAUGGGAGACUGUGUGGGAGAGUAGGUGCCGCCGGAA
rnacentral:rRNA from 1 species